GAUGAACGCUGGCGGCGUGCCUAAUACAUGCGAGUCGAGCGAACAGAUGAGGAGCUUGCUCCUCUGACGUUAGCGGCGGACGGGUGAGUAACACGUGGAUAACCUACCUAUAAGACUGGGAUAGCUUCGGGAAACCGGAGCUAAUACCGGAUAAUAUAUUGAACCGCAUGGUUCAAUAGUGAAAGACGGUUUUGCUGUCACUUAUAGAUGGAUCCGCGCCGCAUUAGCUAGUUGGUAAGGUAACGGCUUACCAAGGCAACGAUGCGUAGCCGACCUGAGAGGGUGAUCGGCCACACUGGAACUGAGACACGGUCCAGACUCCUACGGGAGGCAGCAGUAGGGAAUCUUCCGCAAUGGGCGAAAGCCUAACGGAGCAACGCCGCGUGAGUGAUGAAGGUCUUCGGAUCGUAAAACUCUGUUAUUAGGGAAGAACAAAUGUGUAAGUAACUAUGCACGUCUUGACGGUACCUAAUCAGAAAGCCACGGCUAACUACGUG
rnacentral:rRNA from 1 species